rnacentral:rRNA from 1 species
UACAGAGGGGGCAAGCGUUAUUCGGAAUUAUUGGGCGUAAAGGGCGCGUAGGCGGCUUUGCAAGUGGCGGGUGAAAUCCCUCGGCUUAACCGAGGAACUGCCUGCCAGACUGUGAGGCUUGAGACCGGGAGAGGUGAGUGGAAUUCCCAGUGGAGCGGUGAAAUGCGUAGAUAUCGGGAGGAACACCUAUGGCGAAGGCAGCUCGCUGGGACGUUACUGACGCUGAGACGCGAAAGCGUGGGGGAGCAAACAGG